UAGAACUAGGUACAAUUUUCACAGAGUGAAGAAGCAGAUGUGUUUUGUCCUUAAUGAAAGCAUUAGACAGUGUUACUUCUAUUCAGCAAAUGUGACUGGCGUUUUCUUAUGGCUCUGGACUUCAUUACUUCCUUACUGCAACCUGGCGCUUAAAGUGCUAUCAUCACAAGGAUGAAGAAACAAUUCAGAAAGGCCGAUUGAGAUGGCUAUGGUCAUGCCUUAUACCACUGGCAGUGUUAACAUCUGGGCCAAACAUCUGGGCAGCAACAUCAGAAAGCCCCUCUGCUGUGCUUCAGGAUCACUCUUAUCACUGCAUAAAGGGUAUGCUACAUUUUUGCAGAAAGUCAGGAGGUUUAGAAACCACACAGAGAAACAUUGCUUGGAAAGGGGAACUCUUCAAUCGUCUAAGAUUACAGAUCUUGGAAU